rnacentral:lncRNA from 1 species
CAGCCUUCUGAAUAUAUGAGGGCAGACCUUCAGCUCAGACAAUAAACUCUGCAGUUCAGCCUCUAAGCAGCAGAAGCAGCUGUUGCCCCAAAGGCUAAAUGUUAACUUUGCACCAUCAUCGCUGAGUGCUGUCUGUUCAUGAAAAUAUUGACAUAGGUUUGAUUUGUUUGUAUCCAAUGCGCUUCUUACAAAAAAAAAAAUUAAAAUCCACAAAUCUGCUCUCAUUUUUCUCUUUUGUCACAUCUUUCUGUUAUAUGAGCCAAUGCAGACUUGAACAUUUCAACUGUAACUUGAUGGCAAAGUUAUCGUCGCAUAUUUCUUAGGAGUGGAUGUUGGCAACAAGAAGAAAUUCCGAUGAAAGAGGAACGGCAGAUGAAAUUAAUGGACUAUGCAGAAUUGGACAAAAUGACAGGAUGGAUUCGAAACCUGCGGGACCAGAGAUUUACAGAAGAUUGGAAGAAGUAUAUGAAUUAUUUGAAGAGCAACUGUAAUCAACAAAUUACGCUAGUAGGACUACUAUAAGUUUUGUAAGGAGAACUAUACGAAGUGUUACAAAGUAGAAAAAGAUAGAGAUAUUGAUUAUGAGUUUGAAAUGUAAUAGGGAAGAUAAGAAAUGCAUACUGAGAGGUUAGAUUGGAAAAUUUUCAGACAGGAUUGAUGGAAG